rnacentral:rRNA from 1 species
ACUCAGGGCAUCCCAUUCUGAAUGUAUGUAAUCUUGUCAGAUCUUGGAAGCUGAGCAGGGUCAGGCCUGGUUAGUGCUUGGAUGGGAACCUACCUGGUAAUACUGAGUGCUGUUAGCU